GUUGAGGGGAAUGUUGUCUGGUUCGAGAUCACUCGUGGACGAAUUAAUUAAUAACUUAUUGUCUUUUGAAUGAUUUCGGACCAGGCUUCAUUCCCCCCAAC
rfam:Citrus sinensis cultivar Ridge Pineapple sweet orange scaffold00022_contig_38, whole genome shotgun sequence.